GACGAACGCUGGCGGCGUGCUUAACACAUGCAAGUCGAACGCGCCUGUCCUCUGGGUUUCUGGGGGGUGGGUGAGUGGCGAACGGGUGAGUAACACGUGAGUAACCUGCCCCCUUCUUCGGGAUAACGGUCUGAAAGGGCUGCUAAUACCGGGUAUUCACUGGUCUCCGCAUGGGGUCUGGUGGAAAGGUUUUUUUCUGGUGGGGGAUGGGCUCGCGGCCUAUCAGCUUGUUGGUGGGGUGAUGGCCCACCAAGGCUUUGACGGGUAGCCGGCCUGAGAGGUUACCCGGUCACAUAGGGACGGAGAUACGGCCCAGACUCCUACGGGAGGCAGCAGUGGGGAAUAUGGCACAAUGGGCGCAAGCCUGAUGCAGCGACGCCGCGUGAGGGAUGGAGGCCUUCGGGUUGUGAACCUCUUUCGCCCGUGGUCAAGCCGCGACGUGGGUCGUGGUGAGGGUAGUGGGUAAAGAAGCGCCGGCUAACUACGUG
rnacentral:rRNA from 1 species